AUUUCAUGCAGAACCAGUUGAUGUUUGGUCCUGUGGAAUAGUACUUACUGCAAUGCUCGCUGGAGAAUUGCCAUGGGACCAACCCAGUGACAGCUGUCAGGAGUAUUCUGACUGGAAAGAAAAAAAAACAUACCUCAACCCUUGGAAAAAAAUCGAUUCUGCUCCUCUAGGUAACUGAAUUAUCUUGAGUGAAAGAGUACCGAUUUCUUGGAUAUGAAGUCUUGUGCUAUUUGAAUUUUUUCUUACUUUUUUUUUUGUUUUAAACUUACAAAUAAUUCAUGUUCGUUGUAGAUAAAAUAGUAACUAUAAGUAAAAAAUUAAGGAAAAAAUAACUCUUUAGUCCCAGAACUCUGCAAUAGAUUUUUAAAAAUAUUUUGGGGAGUGUAUAUUCAGAGCAACUUGAAUCUGCUCUUAGAUGGCUUUUUACUUAAAGUUUUCAUAUGUGCUAUACUUUGUUGCAAAUACACUCGUUUGUUGCUUAAUUAUAGGGAUGCACUCUAACAAAUGUUUCAUUAGGUGGUUUCAUCAUUGUGUGAACAUCAUAGAGUAUAUUUACAUAAAUCUAGAUAGUAUAGCUUACUAUAAAUCUAGGCUAUUUGGUAUACCCUAUUGAUCUCAGGCUGCAAACCUGUACAGCAUGUUACUAUACUGAGCACUGUAAGGAAUUGUAACAUAAUGGUAUUUGUGUAUCUAAGUAUAGAAAAAGUAUAGUAAAAAUACAGUAUUAUAAUCUAAUGGGACUGUCUGUUAUACGUGUGGUCCAUUCCUGACU
rnacentral:lncRNA from 10 species